GGCGCCCCGCCCAGUGGGUGGAGUGUGAGGCGGGGAGGUCGCUCGACUCGCCGGCGCUGUGGCCUCCCGCGGAGCCGCUCAGACUUUCCCUGCCGGCACAUGGACCUGGCCCAACCCUCACAGCCAGUAGACGAGCUGGAGCUCUCGGUGCUCGAGCGGCAGCCAGAAGAGAACACGCCUCUCAAUGGUGCCGACAAUGUUUUCCCUUCUUUGGACGAGGAGUCCCCCCCGGCCGAGGCUAACAAGGAAAGCCCCUGGAGCUCCUGUAAUAAGAAUGUGGUUGGAAGGUGCAAACUGUGGAUGAUCAUCACCUCCAUUUUCCUAGGUCUCAUUAUAGUGAUCAUCAUAGGCUUAUGUCUUGCUGCAGUAACUUAUGUUGAUGAAGAUGAAAAUGAAAUACUUGAAUUAUCAUCAAACAAAACAUUCUUUGUCAUGCUGAAGAUUCCAGAGGAGUGUGUUGCUGAAGAGGAAUUGCCUCACCUGCUCACCGAAAGGCUCACAGAUGUGUACAGUACAUCGCCCUCUCUGAGUCGUUAUUUUACUUCAGUUGAAAUAGUGGACUUCAGUGGUGAAAAUGCCACAGUAACGUAUGACCUGCAAUUUGGGGUUCCAUCAGAUGAUGAAAAUUUUAUGAAGUAUAUGAUGAGUGAGGAGUUGGUGCUGGGCAUUUUGCUACAGGAUUUCCAUGAUCAGAAUAUACCUGGUUGUGAGAGUCUGGGGCUUGAUCCAACAUCCCUCUUGCUCUAUGAAUGAAGUGAUGGAGGCUGGUCUCUGUCUGAAAGCAGUGCUCUACCAAGUCCUGGAGAUGAAGGGAAUUCACUCUGUUUUGCAGAAAAGAUUCUGUGGAUUAAUACAGAAGCACCAGCAACAACCAGAGGGGUGGAGACUCCUUUCUCUCCCGAUUCUGCAGUCUGGGUCCAAGCCCAGUAAAACAGCUCCCGAGCACUGCUUCAGCUGGGUCCAGUCUUGACAAAGGCAGGAAGCCAGCUAGGGUGGGGGCGAUAGGGUCAGCGGGAAGUAGGACUGAAGCUGAAUCCUGAAGCACUGGUGGGAUUUGAAUAAGAAGAUUUGCCUUCCUUUACACAUGUUCGUGUCUUCUUAGGAUGAGGAUGAAGAUGAUACUAUCAAAUUCCUAAUCAGGAAAAAAGCUUUCUGCUGUGUUCCCAGCAAAGGAAAAAUGUUUCCUCACUCUCAAUUCUGGUAAUUUCCUUGGUUCCCUUGUAAUGAAGAACACGUAAGUGUUAUCCCCAGGAAAUCAAGGUACAAGUGUAUGGAAAUUUUACAAAUCAUUUUUUUCAGGUAUGGGUUAGGCAAUAUCAGUAUUUUACUAUAUUCUGAAUUUCUCCAAUUUACCGUAUAUUGUAAAUUUACAGUAUAUUCUGAGCAAUUGUUUGCUCACUUGUCUAUAUUCUACACUAGAAUGUGAGCUUCACAAAGCUGGGGACCAUAUUGAUCUUGUUCAUCGUGGUAUGUAUUUCCAGUCUAUGACACAACAUCUGGCACACAGUAAAUGGGUUUUCAAAAAAUAUUUGAUGAAGAUAUGAAUGCAGAAUGAAUAGCCAAGGACAGAGCAACCCUGGUGCAGGAGGUCAGCAAAUCUACCACCUUGACUCCAACGACAUAGUUAAAUAACAGGACUUCUCUCUCUUAUAGCACAAAGGCUUAGAAUCUCUCUGCAGUCCUGCAUCUUCAUUAAUGUAUAAGUAUCAUUCUGUACAUCUUUCUGAAUUUGAGGCAUAGUCAACUACCUACAUGGUUGAAUGUGAAAGCCCUUUAUAAAGUAGUAUGUGUAUCAGUUACAGUAUGUAAAAACGUUUGGAAAACACCAUCCAAAAAUUUCUCCCCCCGUGAGCUUUCCCAUGAAGUUUCAUCAGGAGGAGCAGUGGAGGAGAGGCUGACUGCAUCGUGACCUUGGCUGUGAUCACCUGCUUGGCUGAGCAUUCUGACAACCUCUAAGAUCUAUGCAUCAUCAAAGCCUUUGGGGCCCAGAGGCACAGCUGCAGCUCUUCCUCUUCUUUAGGUUACCUUCAAUGUGCUUCAGGCCAUUUGCUUACAUUAUCUGCUUUGUUGCUAAGGAAACAUCGUAAGAAAACUACUGAAUCACACCAAGUUAACAAACCAGAUUCACUGAGGAGAAAUGAAUGAGAUAAGAGGAGGGGGAUGAUUUUGAGAGAUAUUCUCCGAACUCCUGAGGCCACAGUUUUUAAAUCUGUAAAAGAGGAUGUAUAUACUGCUUACACAUGGAGUUAUAAGAAUAAGCUGAAGUUAAAUAUGGGCAAAAACGAUCUGUAAGCUGGCUGUUUUUCCUACUUGACUUUUCUGCAGUUUAUUCUUGCAUUUCAACAUGGUGGUUUUGGUUUGGGAUGGGUUCAGAUAGCCUCCAAGAAGCAAGCUAGACAAAUCUCUAUACCCUUAGGCUACAUGUCAGGAAUUUGAGGUAUCUGUCUCUUUCACAAUGUCUUCUCUGGCUCUCUGGUCUACCCAACCUCUCCCUUGUUAUAAUGCCAUGGCCCUUCUGAUUUAUUUCAUCAUUUGAACUGUAUGCCUUAAAAUGUGCCCAGUGAUACCCCUGAAAAUAUGUAAUUCUCAACUUGAACUGAAAAAAUUCACCCUGUUGAAAGGAAUCUCUGGGUCUCCAGCCCCUAACGCGGGCAUUGGUGUUAAAAAAUAACAACAGUGCUUGUUUUUUAAUUGCUCCUCUUUCAAAAUCUCCUCCUGAAACCAUGUGAAAAGCACAGAUAACUUUACAGGCCACAGAAAAACUGACCUUGUCAGCCCUUAGGAUUCUUGGAUCCUGGAACAUUAGUUCCAUAUUUUAAUUAUUCCUUUCCUUAGAUAGAAUUCUUUAGGGCUGGACAUUUGAUAGGUCUGUUCAAAAAGAAUUAAUGAGGUGGUCUUUGUUUAACAACAUCGGGGCAAUCACAAUGGUGUCUCCACAAACUUUCUAAAAAUUGUCGUAACAUGGGGCAUGUGGUCACUUCAGAAAUAGACACCUAUAGCUUAAAAUAAAAUGGCUAGGGUGGAGGUUGAGCACAAAGGUACCUGAGAUAGACAAACAAAAUGACAACAGGAAAUAAGACCUUUUAUUUUAUAACAGGGCAUAACAGGGACUAACAGGGUCUUAGUUCCUGUUGCUAGGAGUUACAUUAGGCUUCUAGCAAAGUAGCAUAUCUCCUGUCCAAAGUUUUCAAGCAUUUUAUCUUUUGUCCUGUCUUCACAUUUGCUACUAUUGCAACUGCUACUGGUCUAAACAGGGCCCUCUCUCACUGGGUUGUGAAGUCCAGGGCUUGACAUACUUCGUUCUCCUUGGGCAAGGUCUGGGGGGAGUUUGGUUGAUUUUGCUCUCACCUGGAUGUUCUCUGUUUGGGGCUUUGCAUUCUCACAUUCCAAGGCAUCUCUUGAGUGUUCUGCUGCCGCCUGAAACUCAAUAUAUCAGAAACAGGCUAAGUAUUUCCUAAACAGGCCUGCCACUUCUUUUCAUAAUUUUUCCAACUUUCCUCAUUUCUGCUAUUUGUGUGUAACUCAGAAAUUGACUGGUUGCCCUCACACAUGUUAAUACUGUUUCCUCAAGCACGUGUUGCAAGCUACCUUUGAUCUGACAUGCUCUCCAUUGCCACAGCAACAGCCCACUGAUAUUCUCCAACCUCCAUGAACAAGUGAUCCUAAAUCAUCUGUUCCCAAAUAUCCAGGGAUCCUCGUCAUGACCCUUGAGAGUAUCAGUGUCCAGAGAGAGGCCUGAGGUCCUCAGCUACCAUCUCUUUGGUGCAGUUCCAGGAGCUAUGCACAAGUAAUGGGGAAAGGUACUGGCUUUGUCUUGUGUAAAUCACACCAUCUUUCACAGAAAGCAUGGAGGCCCAGAACAAGGGACAGAAGGAGAAGGAAAGGAUUGAAUAAAGAAAAUAAAUUGGUUCAUUGUUUGGGUUAGAUUUCUGUAUACCCAUCUUUCCACUUGUUGGGAAUUGGGAGUAUGAGGAUAAAGAAAUUAACACUUAAACACUACUUACUAUAUGCCAAUCAUUUUGUGUGUUAUAUUUCAUUUAAUCCCAGAAUAAAUCCAUAAGAUAGAUAUUAUCAUUAUAUUUUUUAUACUAAUGAGGAAA